AAACUUUCAACAACGGAUCUCUUGGUUCUGGCAUCGAUGAAGAACGCAGCGAAACGCGAUAAGUAAUGUGAAUUGCAGAAUCUAGUGAAUCAUCGAAUCUUUGAACGCACAUUGCGCCCGCCAGCAUUCUGGCGGGCAUGCCUGUUCGAGCGUCAUUU
rnacentral:rRNA from 1 species